UGCCUACGGGCCAGUAUUAUUAAAACAUCCAUUAGUGAUGUAUGCCUACGGGCCAACCAUAUUAAAACAUCCAUUAGAGGUGUAGUGCCUAUGGGCCAUAAUAAUUGUCUUAUAAAGACAAAAGGCAGUGGUAGUCUAUGACUCUCUGUCAGAAAGAGAUAAAAGAACUACGGUUCAAUUCUCUAUGCCUUUGAUUCUCUGAAAUCUCGGAUAAUAUUAUAAAACAUCAUCAUGAUUAGGCUUUAUGCCGCCAAUACUAUUUAUAUAGCUGAAAUAGGAUAUAUUCAAAUCCUAAUAUUUAAUGAAAUAAUAAGUUAACCAAAUAUGGUCUCUGUACCAUGGUUGACAAAUUGUCAUAAAAGACAAUUAUAUAAUAAUCGCCUAAAUAAAAUUUUGUUAUCUUCUGUAACAGAUUCAAGUUACAAUGGCGGAUCCCAAUGGAGAGAACAGCCACACAAAUGAAGAUGACUAUGACAAUACGCCAGUGCAUCUGACAGGCGCACAACUGAAGGCUCUGAUUGACAAUGCUGUUCAGGCAGCUAUUGAUCGUCAAUAUACUGAGUC
rnacentral:lncRNA from 1 species